CACCUCUCAGGGUCACACCUGGAGAGUUUCCAGUAAUCUAGCAGCCUCAGCUACAGGAGGGAGAGUCAAGCAGAGGCAUACCCAUUCCAUUCCUAGCUUGGCCAGUGGCUAGCAAGUGGAAGGUAAACUGCUACAAAU